UACAGAGGGUGCGAGCGUUGUUCGGAAUUAUUGGGCGUAAAGGGCGCGUAGGCGGUGCGGUAAGUCACCUGUGAAAUCUCCUGGCUCAACUGGGAGCUUGCAGGCGAAACUGCCGUGCUGGAGUGUGGGAGAGGUGCGUGGAAUUCCUGGUGUAGCGGUGAAAUGCGUAGAUAUCAGGAGGAACACCGGUGGCGAAGGCGGGUCUCUGGGCCGGAACUGACGCUGAGGCGCGAAAGCGUGGGGAGCAAACAGG
rnacentral:rRNA from 1 species